GAUGAAGAACGCAGCGAAAUGCGAUAAGUAAUGUGAAUUGCAGAAUUCAGUGAAUCAUCGAAUCUUUGAACGCACAUUGCGCCCCUUGGUAUUCCGAGGGGCAUGCCUGUUCGAGCGUCAUAUUAACCACUCCCGCUUGCGGGGUCUUGGGCUUCGCCUCCGGGCGGGCCUUAAAAUCAGUGGCGGUGCCGUCGGGCUCUACGCGUAGUAAAUUUUCUCGCGAUAGGGUCCCGGUGGAUGCUUGCCAACAACCUCCAACUUCUUAAGGUUGACCUCGGAUCAGGUAGGGAUACCCGCUGAACUUAAGCAUAUCAAUAAGCGGAGGA
rnacentral:misc_RNA from 1 species